GAACGUGGACACGCCUCGGCGA
rnacentral:piRNA from 1 species